rnacentral:rRNA from 1 species
CCUACGGGUGGCUGCAGUGGGGAAUUUUGGACAAUGGGCGCAAGCCUGAUCCAGCCAUGCCGCGUGCAGGAUGAAGGCCUUCGGGUUGUAAACUGCUUUUGUACGGAACGAAAAAGCUCUCUCUAAUACAGGGGGUGAAUGACGGUACCGUAAGAAUAAGCACCGGCUAACUACGUGCCAGCAGCCGCGGUAAUACGUAGGGUGCAAGCGUUAAUCGGAAUUACUGGGCGUAAAGCGUGCGCAGGCGGUUAUGUAAGACAGAGGUGAAAUCCCCG